rnacentral:rRNA from 1 species
UACGAAGGGGGCUAGCGUUGCUCGGAAUUACUGGGCGUAAAGCGCACGUAGGCGGGUUUUUAAGUCAGGGGUGAAAUCCUGGAGCUCAACUCCAGAACUGCCUUUGAUACUGAAGAUCUUGAGUCCGGGAGAGGUGAGUGGAACUGCGAGUGUAGAGGUGAAAUUCGUAGAUAUUCGGAAGAACACCAGUGGCGAAGGCGACUUACUGGACACAUAUUGACGCUGAGGUGCGAAAGCGUGGGGAGCAAACAGG